GCCUGAAUGUUGCAGGCAUGGGUAGGGUAGGGCCUGAAUGUUGCAGGCCUGGGUAGGGUAGGGCCUGAAUGUUGCAGGCAUGGGUAGGGUAGGGCCUGAAUGUUGCAGGCCUGGGUAGGAAUACCCUUCGCAAUAUUGAUAAACCCAGGUCAAUGUAAACCUGCCAACACCUGUCUCAAAAUGUUAAAUCAGAAUGUGGACAAGAUCAGGACAAAGGAGCAGGUAUAACCGGGGAUAAAGUGUCGGACGAUCGUCAGGCAGUACUAAAAACACCAGAGUAGCAACUGUGGGAGUUUUUAUUACACAUAAAUAAUCUAAAUGCAGUAUAAUUCACAGUGUCAGAUGAAUGAGAAUCUGUCCUGUUCUUUGUGUGGUCAGUAGGCAGACGGUUCCAACAGAAACACUGGGACCUACAACUGUAGGAUGCUGUUCUGAGGCGGAGCAACCAGAGAAUCUACAACGACACUGAGUGGACAAACAUGAAAAACAAAUUCAUGACAGACUGACCAGUGAUUGAUCCCUUAUUAAAUCACUUCAGGUAGAUGAGGAGAGGGACAGGUUAAAUCCACUUCAGAGUAGAUGAGGAGAGGAGACAGGUUAAAUCCACUUCAGAGUAGAUGAAGGAGAGGAGACAGGGUAAAUCCACUUCAGAGUAGAUGAAGGAGAGGAGACAGGUUAAAUCCACUUCAGAGUAGAUGAAGGAGAGGGAACAGGUUAAUCCACUUCAGAGUAGAUGAAGGAGAGGAGAAAGGUUAAAUCCACUUCAGAGUAGAUGAAGGAGAGGAGACAGGUUAAAUCCACUUCAGAGUAGAUGAAGGAGAGGAGACGGUUAAAUCCCCUUCAGAGUAGAUGAAGGAGAGGAGACAGGUUAAAUCAGUAUUUCUGGAAAUUAGGAAGUUCUUUGUCCACUCAGUGUAUAUCUGUGGCUCUGGCUGCAGUCUUUAUAAUGGACAGUUUGGAAAAGCCGUUCUGCAACACACUCAUCUCUCUCCCACACAUGGUCAGGCCGGCCCCCACAGGAGCCCACAAUGACAUCAUAGUCUCACCUCUGACCCAAGAGAACUUCUUCUUGGUUGGGUUUGAAGGCGGUGUACAUACCAGUAUUACUGCCAUACCCAAGAACAUUUAAAGGGGAGGGGCUUAAUGGCCAACUCAGCCCAUCCGAGUAAUGUCCAAAAU
rnacentral:lncRNA from 1 species